rnacentral:lncRNA from 1 species
AUGGGGUCAGGAUCACCCCAUACCCAUCCCAUCCCAUUAACCAUCCCCUAUACCCCAUAUCCAUCACAUCCCCCAUAUCCAUCCCAAUACCCCAUAUCCAUCUCUAUAUCUAAUGGGGUCGGGAUCACCCCAUAUCCAUCCCCGUACCCCAUAUCCAUCCCAAUACCCCAUAUCCAUCUCAAUAUCCCAUAUCCAUCCCAUCCCCCAUAUCCAUUCCAUACCCCAUAUCCAUUCCAUACCCCAUAUCCAUCCCAUUAUCUAAUGGGGUCGGGAUCACCCCAUAUCCAUCCCAAUCCCCCAUAUCCAUCCCAAUACCCAAUGGGAUCACCUCAUACCCCUCCAAUCCCAUUAACCAUCCCCUAUACCCCAUAUCCAUCCCAUACCCCAUAUCCAUCACAUACCCCAUAUCCAUCCCAGUAUCUAAUGGGGUCGGGAUCACCCCAUAUCCAUCCCAUACCCCAUAUCCAUCCCAAUACCCCAUAUGAGGUCGGGAUCACCCCAUAUCCAUCCCAAUACCCCAUAUGGGGUCGGGAUCACCCCAUAUCCAUCCCAAUACCCCAUAUCCAUCCCAUACCCCAUAUCCAUCCCAAUACCCCAUAUCCAUCCCAAUACCCCAUAUCCAUCCCAGUAUCUAAUGGGCUCUGGGAUCACCCCAUACCCAUCCCAUCCCAUUAACCAUCCCCUAUACCCCAUAUCCAUCCCAGUAUGUAAUGGGAUCACCCCUUAUAAUCCCACCCCAUAAACCAUCCCCUAUACCCCAUAUCCAUCCCAGUAUCUAAUGGGAUCACCCCACACCCAUCCCAUCCCAUUAACCAUCCCCUAUAUAUCCCCCAUAGUGACGCAUAUUCCCUAUAUCCAUCCCAUUAUCUAAUGGGGUCGGGAUCACCCCAUAUCCAUCCCAGUAUCUAAUGGGGUCUGAGAUCACCCCAUAUCCAUCCCAGUACCCCAUAUCCAUCCCAGUAUCUAAUGGGGUUGGGAUCACCCCAUAUCCAUCCCAAUACCCCAUAUCCAUCCCAAUACCCCAUAUGGGGUUGGGAUCACCCCAUAUCCAUCCCAUACCCCAUAUCCAUCCCAUUAUCUAAUGGGCUCACCCCAUAUAACCCCGCCCCAUAACCCCCCUAUACCCCAUACCCACCCCAUAACACCCCUAUACCCCCCAUAGUGCCCCACAUACCCCAUAUCCGCCCCAUAACCCCAUAUACCCCCCAUAGUGCCCCCUAUACCCCAUAUCCACCCCAUAACCCCCUAUACCCCAUAUCCACCCCAUAACCCCCAUAUACCCCCCAUAGUGCCCCCUAUACCCCAUAUCCACCCCAUUAACCCCCUCUAUACCCCAUACCCACCCCAUAACCCCAUAUUUACCCCCCAUAGUCCCCACAUUUUCGCCGUGACUCCGACUCGUCCGAGAUCCCGGAACCGUUCGCGGCCGAGGCCAAAUUCUACACGGAGUCGAGACGUUACAGAGAGGACGUACAUUUGAUCAUAAUGGAGAGCUGCCAUAACCAAGAACAUAGUGGGAACCAAUCCUACACCCUGUGAGUUAUGCGGAUAUAU